rnacentral:rRNA from 1 species
CCGGAGAAUGUUAUCACGGGAGACACACGGCGGGUGCUAACGUCCGUCGUGAAGAGGGAAACAACCCAGACCGCCAGCUAAGGUCCCAAAGUCAUGGUUAAGUGGGAAACGAUGUGGGAAGGCCCAGACAGCCAGGAUGUUGGCUUAGAAGCAGCCAUCAUUUAAAGAAAGCGUAAUAGCUCACUGGUCGAGUCGGCCUGCGCGGAAGAUGUAACGGGGCUAAACCAUGCACCGAAGCUGCGGCAGCGACACUGUGUGUUGUUGGGUAGGGGAGCGUUCUGUAAGCCUGCGAAGGUGGCCUGUGAGGGUUGCUGGAGGUAUCAGAAGUGCGAAUGCUGACAUAAGUAACGAUAAAGCGGGUGAAAAGCCCGCUCGCCGGAAGACCAAGGGUUCCUGUCCAACGUUAAUCGGGGCAGGGUGAGUCGACCCCUAAGGCGAGGCCGAAAGGCGUAGUCGAUGGGAAACGGGUUAAUAUUCCCGUACUUGGUGUUACUGCGAAGGGGGGACGGAGAAGGCUAUGUUGGCCGGGCGACGGUUGU